rnacentral:rRNA from 1 species
UGGGGAAUUUUGGACAAUGGGCGAAAGCCUGAUCCAGCAAUGCCGCGUGUGUGAAGAAGGCCUUCGGGUUGUAAAGCACUUUUGUCCGGAAAGAAAUCCUUGGCUCUAAUACAGUCGGGGGAUGACGGUACCGGAAGAAUAAGCACCGGCUAACUACGUGCCAGCAGCCGCGGUAAUACGUAGGGUGCAAGCGUUAAUCGGAAUUACUGGGCGUAAAGCGUGCGCAGGCGGUUUGCUAAGACCGAUGUGAAAUCCCCGGGCUCAACCUGGGAACUGCAUUGGUGACUGGCAGGCUAGAGUAUGGCAGAGGGGGGUAGAAUUCCACGUGUAGCAGUGAAAUGCGUAGAGAUGUGGAGGAAUACCGAUGGCGAAGGCAGCCCCCUGGGCCAAUACUGACGCUCAUGCACGAAAGCGUGGGGAGCAAACAGGAUUAGAUACCCUGGUAGUCCACGCCCCAAACGAUGUCAACUAGUUGUUGGGGAUUCAUUUCCUUAGUAACGUGCUAACGCGUGAAGUUGACCGCCUGGGGAGUACGGUCGCAAGAUUAAAACUUAAAUGAAUUGACGGGGUC